CUGGCUCAGGAUGAACGCUGGCGGCGUGCCUAACACAUGCAAGUCGAGCGAGGAGAAAAGAGCUUGCUCUUGGAUCCUAGCGGCGGACGGGUGAGUAACGCGUGGGUAACCUGCCCUAUACACACGGAUAACAUACCGAAAGGUAUGCUAAUACGGGAUAAAGCUAAGAUAAGGCAUCUUAUCAUAGUCAAAGCGAAAGCGAUAUAGGAUGGGCCCGCGUCCCAUUAGCUAGUUGGUGA
rnacentral:rRNA from 1 species